GACGAACGCUGGCGGCGUGCUUAACACAUGCAAGUCGAACGGAAAGGCCCUGCUUUUGUGGGGUGCUCGAGUGGCGAACGGGUGAGUAACACGUGAGUAACCUGCCCUUGACUUUGGGAUAACUUCAGGAAACUGGGGCUAAUACCGGAUAGGAGCUCCUGCUGCAUGGUGGGGGUUGGAAAGUUUCGGCGGUUGGGGAUGGACUCGCGGCUUAUCAGCUUGUUGGUGGGGUAGUGGCUUACCAAGGCUUUGACGGGUAGCCGGCCUGAGAGGGUGACCGGCCACAUGGGGACUGAGAUACGGCCCAGACUCCUACGGGAGGCAGCAGUGGGGAAUAUUGCACAAGGGGCGGAAGCCUGAUGCAGCAACGCCGCGUGCGGGAUGACGGCCUUCGGGUUGUAAACCGCUUUCGCCUGUGACGAAGCGUGAGUGACGGUAAUGGGUAAAGAAGCACCGGAUAACUACGUG
rnacentral:rRNA from 1 species